CUCUCUCUCUCUCUCUCUCUCUCUCUCUCUCUCUCUCUCUCUCUCUCUCUCUCUCUCUCUCUCUCUCUCUAGCAGGCCUACACUCUGCUGAAAAACUUCCUGAAAUGUAAGGCAGAUGCCCAUGAGGACUUCAGUGAGAAGCUCGUCGAACUUUAUCUUACAAUGGGUAGCAUUUGUCUAGCAGACAGAAGGAUACAAGAAGCUUAUCAGCUGUUCAGCAAGUCCUUACAGAUUCAAAUGGUUGUGGACUGUCCUCAGCAUAUGAAAGCCAAAGAGAUGCCCGGAAUUCUCAGCAUGUUGGAGAGGUUUCCCAUUGUCUGCAAGAGGAACAGAGUUGUCAAGUAGAAGAGAGAAAAAGUACUGAAGGUACUGCUGUCACUGUUCUGCAUCUCAUGCAAAGUGUGGUAGGAAAGUGGAUCUAAUGCAGUGGUGGUGUUUUGCAGAAUUUAAGCAAAUUAUCAAGUCAAAAAGAUGUGCAACAGCCUUCCACUCAUUCUGUUCUUAACAUGCACCCCUUUGCCCUUUUAACUUUAUUUGAAGACAGAGAUGUAAUAUAACCCAUCACAGUAACACAAACUGCAUGCAUUUUUAACAUUUAGCACAGUUUAGAACGAGACAGUAAUCUCUUAGAAAAGCAUGUCUCUAUACUUUUACUAGUGAACUUCUAAGGAUGUUCCAUUGCUAUUUUCAUGAAUAAAGCAUAAUCCUCCCAAAAGGGGGAAAUAUGAUUCCUUUUCCCCAUAAGUCUACCCUGACCUUUAUUAUUAUUAUUAUUUUAAACACACACUGAAAAAAGCCCAGCUACACGACUUGAAGUUUAG